AUUGAACGCUGGCGGCAGGCCUAACACAUGCAAGUCGAGCGGAUGAAGGGAGCUUGCUCCUGGAUUCAGCGGCGGACGGGUGAGUAAUGCCUAGGAAUCUGCCUGGUAGUGGGGGAUAACGUCCGGAAACGGGCGCUAAUACCGCAUACGUCCUGAGGGAGAAAGUGGGGGAUCUUCGGACCUCACGCUAUCAGAUGAGCCUAGGUCGGAUUAGCUAGUUGGUGGGGUAAAGGCCUACCAAGGCGACGAUCCGUAACUGGUCUGAGAGGAUGAUCAGUCACACUGGAACUGAGACGCGGUCCAGACUCCUACGGGAGGCAGCAGUGGGGAAUAUUGGACAAUGGGCGAAAGCCUGAUCCAGCCAUGCCGCGUGUGUGAAGAAGGUCUUCGGAUUGUAAAGCACUUUAAGUUGGGAGGAAGGGCAGUAAGUUAAUACCCUGCUGUUUUGACGUUACCAACAGAAUAAGCACCGGCUAACUUCGUG
rnacentral:rRNA from 1 species